UUUUUGAAUUAGUGGAAUAUGUUACCUGGGCUGAAAGCAAAUCCUCUAUAAAACCUGAAACAUCUUGUAUUUCAGCCUAGAACGAACUGUUGGUAUUGACAUUUCUCUCAUCAGAUAUUGGUAUACCUGGGUUAUAACCAGUUCCACAUACCGCUCAUAUGGUUGAUUAGAAACUAAGACCUUGUCUACACCAGGAGCUUGAGCAGCAUUGUGGCAACGGCAGUGUGCUCCAUCAGUAGAACAACUCAUGUUUGGAACUAACUACACUCUUAAGUACAGAUUUUUACUUGUAUGAGGCAUAAAUUAACCAUUGUCACAGGCAGUUAAACAGCCUAAUUAUCAGGACAUCCCAUUAGGGUGCAACUUCUCAGAGUAAUUAGGAGGUCAUGAAUUUCCCAUAUAUUCUCUUUCCCACACACACGACAGAAAUCCAGUAUAGUUCUGUUGUAAAUCUAGGGCACGCCAGAAACCUAUUAUGAUAUGUAAGCAAUGGAAAUGUAUUUUCACUGUCAGGUGCAAACUGAAGGAAAGGGAUAUUCCAAGGAUAUUUUAGCAAGGAGGAAAAAAAAAAAUCAAACAGAAAAGGAAUGUUUAGUUUUUCAUGCUCUAACUCAGUAUUUAGGAUUGCAGGUGACAGCCACAACCUCUCCGCACCAUUCCUUAGGUCUCAUUUAAUUCUAUGAGCAAAACUAUCCACUGCCCGAGUAUGGAUAUGUGCACAUGGGAAGGUUGUACAGGGAGUGCUUCAUCUCUCUUGUGCAGUCCACAUGACAGCUAGAGAAUCUGUUGCUGCAGUCUGAGGAGACCAGGGCUUACCAUUUCCUUAUACUCUCUUGGGAGCAAAUUACCAAGAAAUAUGGGGACCAAAUGGCCCCCUCUCCAAGCUAUGGUGCACCUGGUGUAACUCCAGAAUAGAUUUUCCCCUUAGUGCUGUUCGUAUUGCAGCACUCAGCUCUUCACCAUCCCCCUUCUGAAGGCAGCAGCUGCAUGCCACAAUCGAGCCUCAUAGUAAGUAGAACAAGCUAUCAUGCACAUCAAAAGCAAGUGAAGCUCUUAGACAGAUGUAUGCAUCAUGCUUUCGCCAACUAGGAUGUAGUGUACAAAGAGACUGUUUGGUCUUUAAAUCUCAAUGAAUUCACUCUUGACAUCGUAUCUUGAGGCUGGACUAAAGCAACAUCUUGUCAAGUGCUGAGAAGUCAGCAAGCCAAAAUAUGCUACCCUCAUUGGUGCCAAUUUGCAUCUUACAGACAUACAGCUCAGGAAAAGCAGUGGUGUCUGGCUCUGUCUGGGGAUCGUUGCAUUCUGUCUUCUUUGAAGGAGUGGGGAAAAGGGGAGUACUUCACGUACUCUGCUGUAGUGGUUUAUUCUCCUGUAGCAGCUCCUCCCAGUCUGGGAACACUGGAUAAGUGACAAUUUUUGCUUGAUCAGGCCACAGAAAGCAGUUUAUAGCCAUGACCAAACACAAAUGCACAGCUGCAGACAGCUUAAAAAUGACCAAUCGGAUGAAAAUCUGACCUUUCAUUGCAUGAAGUAUCAGAUGAAGACGUUUAAACAAAAUAUAGCAUCUUCUGUAACUUGUGUCUGUGGAGCUCCCAGCCUGUUGCUGUUUUCAGAAGGAUGGGGGAAGGGAGCAGAAGAAGUUCAGUCUGGGGAUUUUUUGGCCUCCACUAGAGGGUGGGUCCGGGUGUAUUGGACCCCUCCUUCCCGAGUUGGGGGGCUCCAGUUUAUCCACCCCACCUGUCAGCACUGGCUGGGGAGCCCCAAGAAUGAGCUCCCUUCACUGUCUUUCCUCCCUCCCAUUCUGAAAACAGAGAGCCCUGCCUGGAACUAACAGUGAACUUCUGUUUAGGGUGGGCUAACCUUGUAAAUCAGAAAGCUUUGCUGAAAAUGUUCCAAGUUACAACUGGGAGCUGCACUUCUGUCUGCUCCUAUUGUUUCACUUUGGUUGUCAUCCCUCCUGUCGAAAAAGGGAAAAAAAAUAGAGGUAUGGCCUCUUGUACUCAUCUUUCUUGUCUGAAUCAACUCGGAGUAACCUUUGUUUUAACCUGCUCUGGGGCUAGGAGAUCUAGGCGCAUCCAUUGCCCAGCAGCUGUAGAGGUCUCUUGGCGUGUCUGCAUGAGACACUUGCUGUGGAGCCAUCUAAUUGGCUCCACAGUAAAAUGUCACUGUCUAUAUGUGUGGCUCUAUUAGGUUAUAGUAGACUAAUAAAUGCUGCUGCAGGGUAGUCCAGUUAAACGCAAGUACUACUCUGUGGUGACAUUGUUUCGUGUACUGCAGUGGAUGUGUAGACAAUGACAGGUGUGGCUGGGGCAUAGGGGUGCUUCAGUGCCAGGCUAGCCAGCAGGCAGCCCCUAUACUGAAGUAUCCUCGUGCCCCAGCCAGCCCCUCCGCAGCAUGUGGAGCAUGAUUGGAGCAGCCCAGGCUGGCAGAGGACCUGGGGAUCAGCCUGUCGGCCCCAGGCUGGUCCGACUUGAUUCCACGUGCUGCAGUUCAGCUGGCUGAUUAAUGAGGGCACUUCAGCACAGGGGCUGCCUUUUGGCUCUGCCCACAGUAAGGCACUCUUGUUCCUUAGCCAGCUCCUCCACAGCACGUGGAGCCCCGUUGGAGCAGCUCUGGGUUGGCAGGCUGACCCCCUGGGUCAGCCAGCCCAAGCUGCUCUGACUGGGCUCCAAGUGCUGCACAUAAAUAAACUCUGGAGUAAUACGCUGUGGAGUUUUUUUGCUCCCAGAUGCACAUUCAAAUGGUAUGCCUGGGACCAAAAAACUCCAGAGCAAUAAUCUCUGGCGUUUAUUCUCGUGCAUUAAUCACACAUGUAGACGUACCUUCUGUGUACAGUAUCAAGCCAUGAGUUAUGAUAGCAUGUUGGAAAACAUCCUACAUGUAUGUUUAUUACACAUGCUUCAAGUUAGCCAUGUGCUCAGCUGUAUGCUGCACUGGGAUCUAAGAUAGUACUGUUCACAUUUAUGCUCAGGGCAUUAUUUUGGAUGGUCUGUAGUAGCCUGCCUUCCCAAACAAGGCAUGAUGUAGAACAGGCCCAAGGGCUGAUUUCUCAGAGGUAUUGACAAAUGUUUUUGAUUAUCUAAAGUGCUGAACAGAAAGCUUUACCUGGAAGGGGACUAAGAGCUCAAUCCUGUACCACUGGGCUGGUUUCCAAUGACUUGGAUGACAGCAGGUUCACAUCCGAGGGUGAAAUCAUGACCCUAUUGAAGUCAGUGGCAAAAUGCCCAUCUAUUUCAUUGAAGCUUGAAUUUCUCCCUGGUUCUCCCUUGGCACAAGAGUGCUAGCCAUGAUUAGAAGCUACAGCAAGCUCCAAGGAACAGAUGGCUUUAAGCCAUACACACAACUUAUGCUUUAUGUACCUCACCCUUAGCCAAGGAUCUAGCUUAUUAUGUACAUCUUGAAUAGAAAAUCUCUCAUUUGCAUAAAGGUCCCAUAGAGCCAUUAUUGAAUUUCCUUUGAAUUGACAAAAAAAAUUAACAGAAUGCAUGUUGUUUAUACAGUUUUUUAAUAAAUAAUUAAAACUGAAUUCCAUUUAUGGCAGUAACAGAUUAGCAAACACACUAGAGUUGACUUUUCUGCCAAUUUUAAUGAGUGGAUUUAUCUUACCUCUUUGAGAGCUAAGGGGAAAAAGAGAGACAACUGUAUUUUUGUGUGUGCGAAUGAUAAGUUAAGAUUAGUGAGUUGCUACUGACACACAGAGACUAGGGGUAUGUUUGCACUAUAGACUGACCCUGCUGUUUUAGCCUUUGCUCAGAAAGCCUCAGACUUUGGAUCUGGUCUCACUGUCGCAACUGGGGGUUAUAGUCAAACCUGGGUCUCGCUCUAGCAUGGGCUCCAAUCUGCCCACUCUACAGUGAGGAUGUUGUUUAGCUUGUGCAGAUGAGCUUGUUUGGAAAGUCCUCCACUGCUGUCCUACAAUUCCUGAGACUUGUGUGUUACUGCUCUUCUAUCCACUUACGUCCCUCUCCCCUCCUUUACACUGAAAGCUACCUUCUGGCUUAUAUACGUUUGGUUGGCAUUUAUGCCUUUUUUCCAUCUUCUGCUGUUUCAGCUCAAACAGCCUCUGCAGAUGCUGUCCCAGCUUAACUUAGCUGGCCAGAGGGGAAAACCAGGUUUCUGGUUGGCCUCUAGUAGAAGCAUCCCAAAGAAGCUGAUGGAGAUAGAAUCAAGCAGACAGCUGUCCAGGGCACGGGUUUCUGUUACAAAUCAUAAAUGGUAACUACAGGUAGGGGCAACACCCUGUUCAUUUGCUCUUUUGACAAAUUUGACUAGGUCUUUUUGUCAUGUCAAAGUUUUCCACUGCCUUAAAUACCCAGGAAUGGUCUAAAUUUUAGACUGAGGCCACAGGGAACUUGAACAGCAUCAGAGAAGAUCUCCAAACAAAGGGGUAAGAGUCAGAAGAAUGGACACCAGAAAAAAGCCAUACUGCUAGGACAGGGCCUGGAGUAGACUAUUUGACUGGAUGAGCAAGGAGAUAUCUCGAGAUCUCUUCAGCAAUGGACCAAGGAACCAGUGUCGAAAGGCAGAGCUGGGAGAGUUGGACCCAUAUCCAGCAGGAUUUUCAACUUCUCCUGGACUGGAGGUUGCUAUCUAGAACUCUGGAGAGAGGACCUGGAAUCAGUGUGGCAAAAGGGAAGAGGCUGACAGAAGGAAACCUAGACUGCCCAAGUAGGAGGAAGAGAGGGGAAAAGCCAAGAGGAAGGGAAGUGCAGUUACAGGACCUCAAGCACAACUAGAGGAUAACAGAGCAGGACUCCGAGCAGAAACAGGAGCUGUAUCAUGCAACACCAACUCUAGCAUAGUCACCAGUGCCUGCAGCCCCCCACUCCUUGACAUAUUUUGUAGCCAAUGCAGCUACUGGACAUUUCAGUGGCUGGGUGGGCUCUGACCUAGAUCUUCAUUUACUAGAAGGUCUAGGUGUUCCCUGUUUGCUCUAUUCUAGUAUGUCUUUGUAACCUGUACAUCCUGGGGCAGAUAUCAGAUACACUCUGUAGCAGGUUUGGGGUUAAUUAGCUCAAACAGUCUUUUAACUAUACAAAGUGCUUUAUUUUCUGGGCCCACUGCCUCACAGGAAACCUCUUCACCACAAGUCAAUACUCAACUUAGCAAAGUCCAGAUACUGCAUACUCACAGUCCAGAGUCCUCUGUAGCUCCUGGGAAGGUGCCUCCUGCUCCCUGCUGUGAUCCCUACACUGCAGGCUUGCUUCCCAGGUUGUCUCAAUCUUAGUUCCCCAGAGGUAGUCCUGCUGCUCCCAAUUUUACAGCUCUGAGUCUCUUGCCAGCUCCUGAGAGUUUCUGGACCAGUGUUACAGCCACUGCCAAGCAAUCCUUUCUCACUCUAGCUCUUGCAGUCCCAUCUUUGUUCAUCACAGAACCCCCCACCCCCUGGUUCCCUUCCUUGGGAGCCCUUUUAGCUGCCUGGAAGUCAGCUGAUUAUUUGCCUCAGCUGGUCCAGUUUCCUAGGCAGCCUGUAAUCAGACUUUGCUACCUGUAAGUGGGCUGUAGUCCCUGCCCACCUGCAGGCUUCUAUAGCCAGGAGGGUGCAGGCUGCUGCAAGCUUUUGCCAGCUGACCUGCUAUGCACACCUGACAUCCCAUUUCACUACCAGUGAGUCUGGACAGCUUCCACUUCAGUUAAUGGCACACAUUUGCACUGUUGCUCUUUGUGCACAAGCAGCUGGAAUGCCUGCAGUGCUUUCCAGAACAAUUCUGUUUAGUACUUCAUUCAUUAAUAAGUUGGUUUGCUUAUACAAAGCAUUGGUGUGUGAGUACUUUCAAAAGAGGGGAGAGUCAAGAAAUUGCAUGCAGGGCUUUAAAUAAAGCAUCAAACUCUCUGAUAGUCACAGAAAAUAACCACUAGCAAACAAUAAAUAAACCUCUAUAUCUGCUCUGACAGUAUAUGAUUUCAUGCUUCCUCAUAAUGGUGGAGAACCAUUCUGCACCGGGGAUCAGGAGGGAUGCACAGAUUUCCUACAUACCCCAAACCUAGAGUGGCUCAAGUAAGACCCUCUGUCAUGCCCCUAGCAAUCCAACUGGAAAAUGUGGGUGACAGUCCCAUCCAUACAGUCCCAUCCUCUUUCCUGCCAGGGGCAGGGGGUCGGACACGAUGAUCGCUUGUGGUCCCUUCCGACUCUACAAUCUAUGAAUCUAUGAAUACUGAGACUGCUAUGUGGUUGGGAGCUGCUUGUGCAGGUGCUUCUAGGCAGGCUUUGCAGUGCCAGGCAUGUAUGCUCAGGAGCUUGGGUUUGAGUAUGUGACCUGGAAUGGACAUGCUCCAUCUUGAGAAAUGGAUUUUGUCAUAACUACUUGUUCUUAGUUGUCCUGCUGCUGCCACAUAAAAAUAUUUGUUGAACCUCUGGUGAUUAGUGGAUUUCAAGGUCAUUAUUUACUGCCAUAAUAUCAUGUUUUAUUAAAAUGCUGGCCCCAGCCCAGCUGUAAUGCCUCAUCUAUGUGGAAGAAACCUAAGACAGGCACCAUUCAGAAUCAAGAUACUCGAGCAACAGGACACCCCAGCUCUGACGUAUUCAUUAUGCAUCCUGCAGGCUCAUUGCAUUUGCAACUUGACUCCUUUGUUAAAAGCAAACACAUUGCAGAUUCUGCCUGGCUUUUCUACAUGUGCUCAAUAGGCAGAAAUGAUAUAAAGUUCCCCUUGCUUGCUAGCCUGCACAGAGACCAGAAAGGUUUGUUACUGUUAUUUGUGCUGCUGUACUGCCCAGAGAGCACUUUGUGCUAGACACUGUAUGGACACAAUAGUGGGCUACAGUCCUUGUUUCAAAGAGUGUACACUAUAAAACAAGCCCACCAAAGGGUUAGAAGUGAAAGAGAAGCUCAGAGAAAUUAAGUGCCCAAUAAUAGAUCAGUGGCAGAAUCAGUCACAAGACCAGGUCUAGUGACUCUUAAACUAGAGCUUUAGAUACUAGAUGACACUGCUUCCCACAGAAUGGCAGGGUUUGCUUCCCUACCUACUUGUUUGGGAUGAACGGUGUGUCAAUGAGGAUCCAUGAUGGGAGGGCAGCUCUGUAGACCUGCUCCUCUUUGCUGCAGGCUGAAGAGCAGAAUCCAUGCCAUGGGGCGAGCAGGUUGCAUCCUAUAAUGGCAUGUGGUAACAUGCAUUUUCUGAGUGCCUUGGGAGACAAUCCACUGGCUGGGGAGAGGUGGAAAAAAUAAAAACAUACAUUCCCAAAUUUUAUAUUUGGAGAGGUAUUACUUGAUCUCACAUGUUUGGUGUGACUGCAGUUUUAGUUAUGGAUCUCAAAUUAAUCUAGAAUAUCCUAGCUCUUACACCUUAUUGCAAUGAUUUCAGCUCCCAUGAUUCCAUUUUUUAAACUUUGAAAGCUGACAUGGAGCCAUUGUCUACUGUACAGUAAAGCUCGCCUAUGUUACUGCACUGGCUACAACCCUGUUUAAUACAAGAAGGCAGUUCACUGUGGAAUUUUCCAUAAGGACACUGAAAUCAUAUACCUUUCUUCUUUUAACAGAGGAACAGCGACAUGCAAAGAUAACCUGAACUUAAAGACAUGGCACUUACACUCAUGGUCAAAUGUAACAUGUUCUAGUCUAAAGUGUACAGUGUUGAACCAUUCUGACUUUGGGGAGGAAUUUCAUUUUUCGUGAUUCAUUUUUUUUUUUAGAUAAGGAAAGGAUGUUUGCUUUUUUACAUGACUGCAAGCCUAUCCUUUGAAUUCCGCCUGCCAAGAAAGGUGAAGAAAAUACUCAAACUGACCUCUUGUAAACUAAACAGUGUUUUUCUUUCUUUGGAGUAAUGCCAAGGAAUUGUCCAAAUAAAAUACCAACACUAACUCUCAGACAGUCCAGUUUCUCUUUUUGCUUUAUAAAUUCUGUUUCAGCAUGCUAGUUAAGUACAUGCUUAAGUUUGUGCUUAAAUUUAAGCCCUAGAAUAGUUCCACUGACUUGUCAUUGACACCAAAUGAACUAUUCGCAUGCUUACAUUAAAGCAUGUGCAUAAGCUUCUUGCUGAAUUGGAGCCUGCCAGUGAACACAGUUUCUUAUUCUAAGAAAAGCUGUGGAAUUUGGAAGCAGGAACUUUCUGGCAACCAAAAUGGAAAUGAAAUCGAGUGGAAUUCCCAGCCACUUGGAAAAUAAAUUCUCCAAUUCCCCGUUCAAGGAUUAAAGACUGAAUUUAUUUUGAAUCAUAUCCAUCUUGGUAACCUGCGAAGUAUUGUCUUUAAUCAAACUUGAAUGAGUGUCCUGCACAGAGGAAGCAAUCUCUAGGGUUGUUAUCCAAAGUCCCUCUCUUAGAAGCCUUCAAGAGAUUGUGUCCAUUUUAAUUUCAGUGCACUGUACAGCAAUCUUAACUCCACACAGAAUGUGUACAAGGAAAGUCUUUUUGUGAUAGCAGUUUUUUGGUCUCGUAGGAUAGGUUAUACUUCUGACUUAUGAUAUAUUCAUGUUUUCAUUUGCUAAAGACAAGUUUCUCAGUUUUCAGUUUUCUUAAAACUUUUGUUUAACUGAACACUGUCUGCAUCUACAUGAGACGCUGACUGCACUGUAGCUCGUUCCUACUUUGCAGUAGCGUCAUGUGGCACAAAGCGUGAUGCGAUGCUACAGCACAGUAGUAAUGAGCUACUCCUCAGUCUGCAACGCUCCUGUGCACUUACUGCAACGCUCCUGUGCAGUAACUCAGGUUACCAAAUGGUCUUUAGUACUUGUAUACACAAGUAACAACUGCGCAGUCAGGAUCUUGUGUAGAUGUAGCCACUAUAGCAGACUUGGAGACUUCCUUUCAACUACAGCUGGUGCCAUGUCAGAGUUUUAAAUUUAAAUUAUGUAUCAAUUUUUACCUUAGUGAUUUAGUAGAAGGUAGUCUACCACAUGCUCAUGUAAGAUCUUUGCAUAAGCAGUUUAAGCAGCGCAGUACUUUACCUGGUAGCCAUAUAAUUGAUUAGAGAAAGUGGGCUGGGACAUAACAUUCAUGCAUUCAUAGGAUGAAAUCCUUAGCCUAAGCUUAGCACAUUGCAGCUGCUGUACAACGAUAUUUUAUUUAAAUAAAUCUUCUCCUUUGGCAGUCCCUCGCAGUCAAGGAUGAUUGUCUUUGAAUAUGUAUUUUACAUUAAAAUAAAAAGCCACUAUCUUCCUGCUGUGAAAUAUCUCUACUGCUGCAGUGUAUGUUACUGUGCCUUUGUAUACUACUUGCAAUUAACUGUCAAUAAUACCAUAAACUUAUUACUUGACAUUUAGGGGUAUAAAAUGAAGUGCAAAGGUUGAAUAAAGGACUAUCCAGUCUUA